CCCCGCGUCAUCCCUGCCCAUCGGCCACCUCUCCGCCGUCGCAAACACCAGGACUACGAGCGAUGAACCAUGUGGUGCUGCCCAGGUUUCAGAUCUUCCCCUUCUAUCUUCCAGAUCCGGUGGCAACGAGAAGGUAGGGAGAGGACAAUGCUAGAGGGGAAUUUGACAGAUGAUGUCGUGCGUAUAGCAAAUUUGGGAGUUUUCCGACAAUAGGGCUUGCUCCACUUCUAUGGUGCAUCAUUAUCGUCAUGGUUAUUACGUACAAACACUACGUUAUAUCAGAACAAUAUGCCAUGAAUAUGACAGCACCAUUUGGGAUGUUCGCAUGGUCUGGAGUUCUUCUUGCAACUGCUGGGUUGGUCAUGUUCUAUAAAUGUAGCCGGUAUUUCUGAAAAAUUUGCAUUUGGUUGAUAGUUAUGAGAAGUUCAAGCCUGGCCUGAGGGUAUCGAUGGCCAGUUACUAAUUAAUUCUUAUUUUUGGUCAAUGAAUUUUUUUUGUUGCAUAUGUGUUCAAACUCUAUUUUUGCAAAACAUGUGGAGAAUGGUAAAUGCAAUAUUCCCCCUUUUAGUGGGCUGACUGUUUGAUCAACUCUUGCUGUUCAUGUUUUACCAAAAUGGAUGCAACUGAUGCAUAGAAAGUUUGCUAUUGGGCCCUGGCAAAAAGUUAGUUGAAAGUUACUGUCAAAAUCAAAGAUUCCAUUGUUGGUUGUUGCAAAGCAAAAUAAAAUAUUUCCUUUCAUCCUGAUCUCUGCACUGCUAUAUAUAUCAAAUAUAUGAGCUGCCAUCUGAUUGAACUAGAAAUGCUAGGUUGUGGUGUGCUCAAUACUGCCAUGCUAGGGACAAAGGUGGAGCCUAGAGCUAUGCCAUCUGAGAGUAAAUAUAGAUGGAAAGAGCAAGGUAACAGACACAAUAAUUUAAUGUAUAAUUAUUAUCCCCAAAGAAAAUGUUUUCAAUCUAUAAUAUAAUGAGUUGAGAGCUUACCAUGGAAAGUUGCAAAAAACAGAGACUUUUUUGCUUUCAACUGAAUUCUGGAAAAUAGAUGGGGCAAUACCUUCGAAUAGAUAUCUAGCUUAACUCCCAGGUUGUGGCUCCUGAACUUAUUUUUUUUCAUUUGCAAAGCAAAACAAAAAUGCAUAUGUUCACUCCCCUCCUCUCCAUUGCAUGCAGCUACACUUCUGCUUCUUUUUUGUGUUUGUUUCUCAAGAAAAUUCUGAUUGGGGAUGUCGCCGGCUAGAGGCAAGCCAGUUCCGGCCGGCUGCUGUGCCAGCUGGGUAGGACGAGGAGUCUGUCCUCGCCGCGCUAGCUUGGCAACCUCGACUGGCAAGCAGCAACACCAAAUCCACAACGUAGUGAGCAGAGGACAAGAGUCGUGUAUUGCUGGUGCGUGGCACAUUGCGGAGACAAACGGACGGGGAUGUUGAAGAAGGGAACCGACUGUUGUCUGCUACGCCUAUUUGUGUACGUUUUAAACUUUUUCCAAUACAACCACAGAUGGAGUUCUAAAAUGUUGCUAAAAUUUCUUGAUCCAUGAGAAUCCCGUUAUCAUACUUGCCUUUUUACUCAUCCAUG